UACGUAGGGUGCGAGCGUUAAUCGGAAUUACUGGGCGUAAAGUGUGCGCAGGCGGCCGCGCAAGUCGAGUGUGAAAGCCCCGAGCUUAACUUGGGAAUUUGCGCUCGAAACUACGUGGCUGGAGUGUGGCAGAGGAAGGUGGAAUUCCACGUGUAGCGGUGAAAUGCGUAGAGAUGUGGAGGAACACCAAUGGCGAAGGCAGCCUUCUGGGCCAACACUGACGCUCAUGCACGAAAGCGUGGGGAGCAAACAGG
rnacentral:rRNA from 1 species